CAGUCGCCGCGGGAAUACGUAGGUCCCGAGCGUUGUCCGGAUUUAUUGGGCGUAAAGCGAGCGCAGGCGGUUAGAUAAGUCUGAAGUUAAAGGCUGUGGCUUAACCAUAGUACGCUUUGGAAACUGUUUAACUUGAGUGCAAGAGGGGAGAGUGGAAUUCCAUGUGUAGCGGGAAAUGCGUAGAUAUAUGGAGGAACACCGGUGGCGAAAGCGGCUCUCUGGCUUGUAACUGACGCUGAGGCUCGAAAGCGUGGGGAGCAAACAGGAUUAGAUACCCCAGUAGUCCCUGUCUCUUAUACAC
rnacentral:rRNA from 1 species